UAUCCGGAUUUACUGGGUGUAAAGGGAGCCCAGGCGGUACGGCAAGUCUGAUGUGAAAUCCCGGGGCUCAACCCCGGUACUGCAUUGGAAACUGUCGGACUAGAGUGUCGGAGGGGUAAGUGGAAUUCCUAGUGUACCGGUGAAAUGCGUAGAUAUUAGGAGGAACACCAGUGGCGAAGGCCGGCUUACUGGACGAUUACUGACGCUGAGGC
rnacentral:rRNA from 1 species